rnacentral:tRNA from 1 species
UCUAAUGUGGCAGAUUAGUGCGAUGGAUUUAAACCCCAUUCAUAAAGAUUUCUUUCUUUAGAA